UUUGACCGGUAUGAAUGGUGUCACGAAAGUUCUUCUGUUUUAAAAAACCACUCAAGGAAAUUGAAUUUGUAGUGAAGAUGCUACAUUAAAGUUGUUAGACGAGAAGUCCCCAUGGAGCUUUACUGAAAGCCUAAAAUAAAUUUUUUUUAUUUCUUUAUCGGCUAGACAGUUUUGUUGGGGUGAUAGUUUUUUAAAAAGUAACGAAAACGAACUAUGACGCACGUUUCACUCUGAAAACUUGAAGAGACAUUUGGGGUGUGUUUUAUGAUCUAUUGUUUUGAAUGAAAAAGACAAUGAAAGCAGAUAAAAGUUACCCUGGGGAA
rnacentral:rRNA from 1 species